rnacentral:rRNA from 1 species
UACAGAGGGUGCAAGCGUUGUUCGGAAUUAUUGGGCGUAAAGGGCGCGUAGGCGGUGCGGUAAGUCUGCGGUGAAAUCUCCCGGCUCAACUGGGAGGCUGCCGUGGAAACUGCCGUGCUUGAGUGUGGGAGAGGUGAGUGGAAUUCCCGGUGUAGCGGUGGAAUGCGCAGAUAUCAGGAAGAACACCAACGGCGAAGGCAGCUCGCUGGGACGGUACUGACGCUGAGACGCGAAAGCGUGGGGAGCGAACAGG